AGGAACUUCUGAACAUGUGUGUUGAGGGAAAAAGAGACUGAGUCUGGAGAGGAGAAAUUUCUAGUUGAGUUGCUUUUCCCAGUCCAGUGUCCUAACUUCAUUUAGCUGGAGUCCAACCUCGUCAAGUAAUGUGUCCUAUCAUCAAACAAGUGUUUUACCUGUUGAUUGAUGGAUCCACAGUGUGACUCAGAAGAGUAUUUUCCAGUGCAAUCUGAGCCAAUCACGAAGGGAGUGAGGUCUGAUUUGGAAUCCCUAUGUGUCCAAGUACACAAGGGAGGAAAUUAACGAUGUAGAAGUUACACCUGUCAUCUCCAGUAGCGAUUAGGUUGCCCUUCACAGUUAAAGUAGUGAAUGAUGUGAAAUACUGUUUCUUGGAAGAAGUUUAUUGCUUUUCAACCUCUCAAGAACUCAAUUAACUCAGCAGCUAAAAUAAAAUACAGGGCUUUAUGUUUCCUGACAAUCUACUGCAUAUGAAGUGGGCUGCUAACCUGGAGCUGGAGCUGGAGUACUUUUUAUAUGAAUUUUAUCCUUGAGACACAAGAAGUUUGAUGCAUGAGUAUUUUUGUUUUAUACAAAUAACAAUGACAACAAAAUUUCCUAUCCUGCCCAUAGGCAUUGUGUAGAUUCUUUGAAUGCACUACUUGAUUUCAUUAAUCUUAUUAAAGGAGAG